rnacentral:rRNA from 1 species
UACGGAGGGGGCUAGCGUUGUUCGGAAUUACUGGGCGUAAAGCGCACGUAGGCGGCUUUGUAAGUUAGAGGUGAAAGCCCGGAGCUCAACUCCGGAAUUGCCUUUAAGACUGCAUCGCUAGAAUUGUGGAGAGGUGAGUGGAAUUCCGAGUGUAGAGGUGAAAAUUCGUAGAUAUUCGGAAGAACACCAGUGGCGAAGGCGACUCACUGGACACAUAUUGACGCUGAGGUGCGAAAGCGUGGGGAGCAAACAGG